CAGAGAGUGCAAACGUUGUUCGGAAUUACUGGGCUUGAAGCGCACGUAGGCGGCGUUGUAAGUGUCGGGUGAAAUCCCACGGCUCACCCGUGGAACUGCCCGGCAUACUGCGAUGCUAGAGUGUGGUAGGGGAGAGCGGAACUCCUGGUGGAGCGGUGAAAUGCGUAGAUAUCAGGAGGAACACCGGUGGCGAAGGCGGCUCUCUGGUCCACAACUGACGCUGAGGUGCGAAAGCUAGGGGAGCAAACGGGAUUAGAUACCCCGGUAGUCCUAGCUGUAAACGAUGGGCACUAGCUUGGGGUCUCCCUGUGUGAUCCCAGGUGAAGCAAAAGUGAUAAGUGCCCCGCCUGGGAGUAUGGUCGCAAGGCUG
rnacentral:rRNA from 1 species